CGGACGGGUGAGUAAUGUCUGGGAAACUGCCUGAUGGAGGGGGAUAACUACUGGAAACGGUAGCUAAUACCGCAUAACGCCGCAAGACCAAAGAGGGGGACCUUAGGGCCUCUUGCCAUCGGAUGUGCCCAGAUGGGAUUAGCUUGUUGGUGGGGUAACGGCUCACCAAGGCGACGAUCCCUAGCUGGUCUGAGAGGAUGACCAGCCACACUGGAACUGAGACACGGUCCAG
rnacentral:rRNA from 1 species